GAGGUUAUAGCUCAAGUGGUAGAGUGAAUGUUUAGCAUGCUUGAAGUUCUGGGUUCAAUCCCCAGUACCUUCU
rnacentral:tRNA from 1 species